AUGGCCUACCCGUGCUUGAUACCGAGAUGUUCAAGAUGGCCGACCCGUUCAUUGCUGGUUGGUUUCUUAGUGCCUACCUCCUUGCGGGAUUUGGCGAUGAUGCCAAAGGAAGCAAUGGGCUGUUGGGAUACCGGCUGGGGGAUUAUUCAGUGUAUGUGGGCCUUGGCAGAGCACAGUCACUUAACCCUGUACUCCAUCUGGUUGGAUAGCAAAUUGCGUUUUAAUGUUGAUUCAAUGCUUAUCAUUAAGUAUUUCUUAUGGAGAAAGAAAGCAGAGUAUGCCAUUUCAGCGCACUACGAUUGCACAUGUGUCUGGGAGGAAGUUCUUCAGAACAAGCGCUUAAACAAAUGUGCCCGAUGGUUCUUUCAUCGUGUGUGCCCUUACACCAAUGUCUAA
rnacentral:rRNA from 1 species